UAGAUGUAUGCUCAUCCUCGCUGUCGUCGCAGGGGAAUCCGGUGCGAAUCCGGAACUGUCCCGCAACGGUGUACUUGUGCGCAUCCGCGCCCAGGAGUCAGUCCGAGGACCUGCCGGCAGCGUGCGCCCGGC
rnacentral:ncRNA from 2 species